ACGGAAGGCAGCAGUGGGGGAUAUUGCACAAUGGGCGCAAGCCUGAUGCAGCGACGCCGCGUGUGGGAAGACGGUCUUCGGAUUGUAAACCACUGUCUUCGGGGACGAUAAUGACGGUACCCGAGGAGGAAGCUCCGGCUAACUACGUGCCAGCAGCCGCGGUAAUACGUAGGGAGCAAGCGUUGUCCGGAAUUACUGGGUGUAAAGGGAGCGUAGGCGGGAGGCCAAGUUGAAUGUUAAAUCUAUCGGCUCAACUGAUAGCUGCGUUCAAAACUGGUCUUCUUGAGUGAAGUAGAGGUUGGCGGAAUUCCUAGUGUAGCGGUGAAAUGCGUAGAUAUUAGGAGGAACACCAGUGGCGAAGGCGGCCAACUGGGCUUUUACUGACGCUGAGGCUCGAAAGCGUGGGGAGCAAACAGGAUUAGAUACCCUGGUA
rnacentral:rRNA from 2 species